UAACAGUUUAGAAGUUUGUAGUGUUUGCAUG
rnacentral:piRNA from 1 species